AAACGCGUGUUUUCUAACUGCGCCCACGCGUCCCUUUGGCUUACUGCUUCAAAGGUAGGCUACCCCUUUGCCAAUGGUGUCUUAUGCAAUCGGUUUAACGUUCCUCUUCCUCUUGCAGCUGACUCAUACUUCUUGUUAGUCGUCCUCGAAUAUGGUAUGCACCUGCCAAUGGAAGUGAAAGACAAGCCAACCUUAGUAUUGGUUGUUUUUGCUGCGAAUCGGUUCUAAAUUGGUUUGUAUCGCAGCUAACGAUUCUCGAAGAAGUGUCAGUGUCCUAAUCUUCCUUAUUUUCAUUGCUCAACAAACAGGAUAGUGGAAACCGCUCUUGUUGACACUCUACAUAGGCGCUGGAUUGGAUUUUUCUUCGCUCUGCUCACAGUGCGUGACCUUGGUUUGUUGUGGCAAUCUAUCAGUCAAUUAACAGUCCCUUCAGGUAAGUAUUGUCCAUUCUUUUGGACGAUUGUUGUAUUGUUUUACGUAUGUAUAUCUAAUGAAGCAUACUUUUUCAGGCAAAACACGUUCAGUCCUCCGUACACAUCUGAUUUCCGUAAGAAUUACGCCUCAAAUUCGAAGGAGACAAUGUUCUAUCUGCACCUAGCACCUCUACAAACCGUGACCGAUAAAGCUAGCCUUUGAUCCUCCGUAUACGAUAAUAUACUGCGCCAAAGUUGAAGGUCGGUCGAAUCAUAAACUAACUAAGGAAUCGCCACUCGUUACGAGAUUAUUAUUGGUUGGAACCUUGUUUUUCGCCGUUUGUUAUACAUUCCAUUUGCAGAUACAAAAUGGAGUAAAAUAUGCAAAACAUCGCGUGAUAAUGCGGUCAAAAUGAAAUCCAGAUCGCACACGAUAACAAACUCAAAGGCACGAUGUUAGUUUGUUUCGAAACACGCUGAAAAUUCCAUUGAAAAUUUUCGCCAGGACCUAUUUGAUUGAUGUAGGAUAUGAAUCUCUUCGAAACUUGAUCUUGGAAUGGAGAAAAUGUCCACGAUGAUGUAUUGUUUAUGCUGCACCGAUCGAACCAGACCGCGUGAUUAUGAAAACGGUAACAAAUCGUGGGCAGAAUAAUGUGGACCAGGAUUAGAAACCCAUGGCUAAGCUGGCGCAGAAUACGAGCGUUGAAAAUUGUACGCUGUCUGGAUGGAUGCUGGAAUUUUUCUGAGGUAUGGUCUAAAACUAUGUAGAUAAUAAGAAUAGAAAAAAGGUAUGAAGCGUAAGAUGUUGAUAUUAUUAUGGUUCUAAAACACUACAUGUUAAUUGUUAUCUUUUUACGCUUGCCAUAAAACCAGGAAAAAUAAAAAAAUAAUAUUAUAUUUGUUAAAAACAAAAAAUGUUUUCAUUGCACCGUUGAAAAUCAACGGUGCGGAAAGAACGAUUGAAAAUGAACAUUACAGCGUAAAAAUGAACCUAACGAAAACGCGCUCAUGAAAUAAUGAAUCUCACGCACACACUCUCAAAAAACGGCUUCACAAGAUCUGCUGUGAAGCUUUUGUGAAGCCGCUUGUGAAGCCGUGAAUUUUACUCGAAAUUCACUCUCAGGCGAGCAGUUUGUCGAUAGGGAUCGAGGAUUGUAUGCGUACAAUCGACUGACGCCGGGAGUGAAGGUUGCAUCAGGUGCCUUUCAGCAGUUUAUAGAGACCAUGCUGGCUGGACUAAAGGAUGUGCCGGUGUAUCUGGAUGAUAUAGUCAUCGGUGGAGCUGAUGAACAUAGCCACAAGAUGAACCUGCGUGCAGUGCUAGCGAAGCUGCGGGAGUAUGGAUUCAAAAUCAGACCAGAGAAGUGUAUUUUUUUACAAAUACAGAUUAAAUAUCUUGCUCACAUUUUAGAUUGCGAAGGUCAACGCCCGGAUCCCUCUAACAUAGAAGCGAUCGUGAAUAUGCCCACACCGAAGAAUCCAUCCGAGGUACGUUCAUUCUUAGGGGCGAUAAACUAUUACGAAAAGUUUGUGCCCCAGAUGAGGAAUCUACGAUAUCCGCUGGAUGACUUGCUUAAGAAAGAUGGUUAUUGGCAAUAGAGUCCAGAAUGUCAAUCUUCUGUUGACAUACUACGUUCCGAGGAAGCCGAUAAUUAUAGCGGCCGAUGCAUCAUCAGUGGGUAUUGGAGCCACGGUCAGCUACAAAAUGUCGAACAGAGCUAUAAAAAUAAUUCAACAUGAAUCCCGCGCCCUAAUAAAAACGGAAAUGGGUUACAGCCAACCAGAUCGCGAAGGAUUCGCGUUAAUAUAUGCGAUUACUAAGUUCCACCGAAUGAUUUUCGGACAUCGAUUUACAUUGCAAACCGAUCAUGCACCCUUGCAGCGAAUUUUGGUUCGCGAAUGGGAAUACCAGUCUAAACGGUGAAUAGAUUGCAACUUUGUGCUUUAACACUGCUGAUGCAUGACUUUAAAAUUGAAUAUGUGUCAACGGAGAAGUUCAGAAAUGCCGACGUACUGUCUCGCUUGAUAGCAAACUAUCAGAACCCGAUCCGAAAUAUGUUAUUGCGAGUGUCGAAACAGAAAGGGAUGUGCGGGCCGUGAUAGGCAUUAUAACGCAAAUAAUGCCACUGACGUUUGGAGAAGUCUUGCGUGAAACUAACAAAGACCCUUUACUAAGAGAGGUACUAGAUUUUGUUGUAUACGGUUGGCCAAAGAAGAAGGUAGAAAAGUUAGAGCUGCGAAACUUCCAAGUCAGAAGCGAGUCUUUGUCCACAGUAAAUAAACGGAUGUUUACUUUUUGGCGAGCGGUUAGUAAUUUCUGGACCUCAGAGGAAGAAAUACUUGCAGCAGUUACAUGAAGGUCAUCCUGGCAUGGAUAAAAUGAAGGCCUUUGCUAGAACCUAUGUAUAUUGGCCCGGAAUAGAAUGUGAUGUCGAUAAAAAGGACCGAAGAUGCCAACAAUGUGCAGCAGUUGCUAACACACCAGCUGAUAGUAUUCCAAUCUCAAGGCCAGAAUCAACUGCUCCGCGGCAGCGAGUACAUGUGGACUACGCUGGCUGUAAUUGAAUCGUUUUCUAAAUGGCCGGAGAUAGUGGCGACUACAACCAUUGCAUCAAACGCAACCAUUAAGAUACUACGAGGUCUGUUCAGUCGUUUAGUGAGCGACAAUGGGUUGCAGUUUACCAGCGCGGAUUUUGAAAUGUUUUGUACAACCAACGAGAUUGAACAUCUGCGCACGGCCUCCUACCAUCCGCAGUCAAACGGACAGGCGCAAAGAAUCGUAGAUACGUUUAAACGGGCGUUAAGGAAAAUGGAACGGGAAGGUAAGACAGAACAAGAGGCUUUAGAUAUCUUUUUAAUGACAUAUCGUAGUACGCCACACAAACAGUCGAGUUUGGUUCUAGAGCUCGAAGUGAACGGACGUAAAUCAGGAGUGAAAAAUAUACAGUGACAACAUGGAGAAGAGAGAAGCUACUCUGAGAGUAGAUUUCUCACAUCUACCAGUAAAGCCACCCGUUAAAGAUGUGAUGGAUUUCAUCACAUCUAAAUUGCAACUAACAAAAGAACAAGUUGUACGCAUACAUCUGCGUACAAGCAGCAUCAACGCCUUUAUAGAUUUAAAGGACGAGAGCGUGGCUCUAAAGAUCGUCGAAAACAACGAUGGAAAGCACA